GGUAAAUAAGGUAAAGUUUCCGGUUCUCGCCGAGAUAGCACGAGAUGUCCUGGCAAUUCCACUUACUUCUGUUGCUUCUGAGUCGGCCUUUAGCACCGGAGGUCGCAUCAUAGAUCCUUUUCGGAGUUCUUUGGCUCCGAAAACAGUGGAAGCUCUUAUUUGUUGUCAAAAUUGGUUGAGAUCUUCUCCCAAUUUUCAGUACGUUGAGUCACUCUUGCCUAAUGUUGAAGAUGAAGAAAGCUACAAGCUUGAGUCGGAAAUUUUGUCUAAUUCCCUCACAUUUGACGCGAAUUAAGGCUUAAUGGUCCAAUGGAUGAACUUUGCGGGGUAAUGUUUUGUUUAAAGUAUUUGGAAGCAAAUUCAAGGAAUUGAAGAUAAUCUAUGUUUGAGGUGGCUCAAGGAAAUUAUUGUGUAACCGUGUUGAUGUUGAUGUUUUUCCAUAUUGAUCACUAUCUUUAUGUUUUCUCGCUUUUAUAUUUGUGUAAUGGUGUUGCCCAUGACUUAUUUUCCUUUUG